rnacentral:rRNA from 1 species
ACGAACGCUGGCGGCGUGCUUAACCCAUGCAAGUCGAACGGAAAGGCCCUGCUUUUGUGGGGUGCUCGAGUGGCGAACGGGUGAGUAACACGUGAGUAACCUGCCCUUGACUUUGGGAUAACUUCAGGAAACUGGGGCUAAUACCGGAUAGGAGCUCCUGCUGCAUGGUGGGGGUUGGAAAGUUUCGGCGGUUGGGGAUGGACUCGCGGCUUAUCAGCUUGUUGGUGGGGUAGUGGCUUACCAAGGCUUUGACGGGUAGCCGGCCUGAGAGGGUGACCGGCCACAUGGGGACUGAGAUACGGCCCAGACUCCUACGGGAGGCAGCAGUGGGGAAUAUUGCACAAUGGGCGGAAGCCUGAUGCAGCAACGCCGCGUGCGGGAUGACGGCCUUCGGGUGGUAAACCGCUUUCGCCUGUGACGAAGCGUGAGUGACGGUAAUGGGUAAAGAAGCACCGGCUAACUACGUG